GGUCCGGUAGCUCAACUGGAUAGAGCAACAGCCUUCUAAGCUGUGGGUUCCGGGUUCGAGUCCCGGCCGGAUCA
rnacentral:tRNA from 1 species